CUACAUCCCCUGAUCCCAAGGCAUUGCCCACUCUGACACUCACGGCCACACUGAAGCCCAGAGGCACCUGAGAAGCAACAGACAAAGAAGAGCACUGCCCAAGCUCCCAAGCCUGCAGCCAAGACCCAAGCUACCAUCCAGCAAACACCAGGAAGACCUUCAGCAGUGUCUGAAGAGAAAGCCAAGAAGGUGGCUCCUGUUUCAGGGCCUGCAGGGCUGAGACCUGAUAUGCUGCUGAUCAGAGAGGAGUCACACUCAAUCUCACUCUGACCUGGAGACCUCGGGGUCCUGCUGGAGGAGCAGGAGGAUCUGCUCAGUGUUGAUGAGGAUCGCCCAGCAAGGAAAGCAAAACAGCAGCAGGAUGAGGAUCCCUCGCUGCAGGAUGGUGCCCACUUGCUUCAGGUUUUUGCUGCCAUAUGUCUACGUGAGGACAGAGGACCAAACAGCGGCCACCACCAGGCUGGUUGGGUUUAACUGGCUCUCGGGUGCAUUGUGCUUCCCUCUGCUAUCCAUCCUCCCACCUUUUGUGCCCCACACCACACAGGAGGUGAGACAACCCCACCAGUAACAAGGAAGAGGGAGCUGCCACCAACCUGGGACAUCAGCGUGUCACAUGCCGAGGCCAGACCAGAACCAACGGAGAUGCCGAUCACAUUGAUGACCUGGAGGAGAUACGAGUGACUUGGCAAGGAUUGGUGAUGCUGUCACAGACACUGAGCUCAGGACCUCAUUUUUCCAUGGCAAGAGGUCAACCCCGAUGCAGCAUGGAACUGCUGGAAGAGGAUGGUAAGAGCAAGAGAUCCCGUGGCAGGUGGGUACAGCUGGGGAGCCAUGCCUGGGGGCUGCUCACAGUCCUGUCUUCCUUGCAGGCUCCAGAGCUGCUGGAGAACUGGCUCCUGCGAGGUCUGAGGAAGAACCAAACCAAACCUCCCACUGCUGCCUGCGGAUGCUGCGCUGUCUCAGGCCCGUCUCAGCACGUCCAAGCAGCUGUGAGUAAUCCCUGCAGGAGAGCUCUGUACCUCUGUGACUGCUCUAGCACAGAGAGCUAAACCUGGCAAGCAGCACUAGGUUUGCUUUGAGGCUCUCUGUGCCCACCAAGCAGGGGAUGGAAGCGUUGAGGGGCUGAUGGGCACUGCUACGGAACAGAAACCACCGUGACUUCCUCUGCUGCACCGCGGCAUUGGGGCCACGUGAGUGUCACUGAGGACAAAGCUGCUCCGCUUGGUCCUCGUCCACCAGGAGGGGCGGAGGGCUCAGAACACAGAGCAUCCAGUUAGACGGAUUUUCAGCCCAAGCCAGCAGCAAAGCCCGGGCUCCCAGCGCACCGCCGGGGGAAGGAUACGGCUGGAAGGGAAUCCGCCGCGCUGGGUGACAGCUAAAGGAUGAACCACAGCCGAGCC